CUGCCAUGAUGGGAAUUUUAUUUUUCGUCAACAGCAUCUCACUGUGUGAAUGGUGACACUUGUUUGCUGAGCAG
ensembl:snoRNA